rnacentral:rRNA from 1 species
GACGAACGCUGGCGGCGUGCUUAACACAUGCAAGUCGAGCGGUAAGGCCCUUUCGGGGGUACACGAGCGGCGAACGGGUGAGUAACACGUGGUGACCUGCCUCUAGCUCUGGGAUAAGCCCGGGAAACUGGGUCUAAUACUGGAUAUGACCCCAUGACGCAUGUUGUGGGGUGGAAAGCCUUGUGCGGCUGAGGAUGGGCCCGCGGCCUAUCAGCUUGUUGGUGGGGUGAUGGCCUACCAAGGCGACGACGGGUAGCCGGCCUGAGAGGGCGACCGGCCACACUGGGACUGAGACACGGCCCAGACUCCUACGGGAGGCAGCAGUGGGGAAUCUUGCGCAAUGGGCGAAAGCCUGACGCAGCGACGCCGCGUGAGGGAUGACGGCCUCGGUU